CCUACGGGUGGCAGCAGUGGGGAAUAUUGCACAAUGGGGGAAACCCUGAUGCAGCGACGCCGCGUGAGUGAAGAAGUAUUUAGGUAUGUAAAGCUCUGUCAGCAGGGAAGAAAAUGACGGUACCUGACCAAGAAGCCACGGCCAACUACGUGCCAGCAGCCGCGGUAAUACGUAGGGGGCAAGCGUUAUCCGGAUUUACUGGGUGUAAAGGGAGCGUAGACGGCAGGGAAAGUCAGGAGUGAAAGGCGGGGGCUCAACCCCCGGACUGCUCUGGAAACUGCCAGGCUGGAGUGCAGGAGAGGUAGGUGGAAUUCCUAGUGUAGCGGUGAAAUGCGUAGAUAUUAGGAGGAACACCAGUGGCGAAGGCGGCUUACUGGACUGUAACUGACGUUGAGGCUCGAAAGCGUGGGGAGCAAACAGGAUUAGAUACCCUUGUAGUC
rnacentral:rRNA from 1 species